AGUCGGCCAGGCAAUCGCUGGAUACUUCGGUAUCGGGAGGAAAGUCCGGGCUCCACUGGGCAGGAUGCCAGCUAACGGCUGGGCGCUAUAAGCCGCAAGGCGAAGGCGACGGAAAGUGCAACAGAAAGCAAACCGCCGAUGGCCCCGCAAGGGGAUCAGGUAAGGGUGAAACGGCGAGGUAAGAGCUCACCGCGUCCACGGUAACGGCGGACGGCACGGCAAACCCCAUCCGGAGCAAGACCAAAUAGGGAAGCUGAGGCGUGGCCCGCGCUGCUUCCGGGUAGGUUGCUUGAGCCUGUCGGUGACGGCAGGUCUAGAGGAAUGAUUGCCGAACCCCGCAAGGGGGGAACAGAACCCGGCUUAUCGGCCGGCUUUC
rnacentral:RNase_P_RNA from 1 species